AAAGAAGAUGUUGCGUUAGCCGAGCAAUAUUCUGGUUUACACUGAAGACAACAAAUGCUGUAUUGACGAUCAGUAUGAAUGUUUAGACGGACAAUGUAUCGACUCGGAUUAUCAGUGUGAUAACUGGAUUGAUUGCAGUAGCGGAGAAGACGACAUGGGAUGUUCUGGUUGUGGAAGUAAUCAGUUUUCCUGCGCUAAUGACGAUAAAUGUAUUUCCUGGCAUUGGGUGUGCGAUGGUGAUGAUGACUGUGGUGAUGGCUCGGACGAACGUGGGUGCCACAAUCUUUGUUGGAAUAUCUAUAACCAAAGCGGCAGACGCAGUAUUACAAGUACUAGUGCUGACAAAGUAGUAUCCAGGGGUGUCGACAAAGGAGGUAAAGUUAAAGCUGCUGGAACAAACCUGUACAAAAAGAAAAACGAAGCAGACAAAAUAGCUCAUAAACUUGAAAAGCUCAGGUUGCUUAGGAAGGGAAAAGGUGGAAAAUAAAAAUGGAAACGGAAGACUAUGCUCGCAAACAAUUGGAAUCGUCCAUGGACUAUGAUAUUAACGUUUGUUUUUUAAACAAUCAUUAUUAAUAUUCUUUAAUGUUAUAUAAUCAUGCAUGUAUGUCAUUUAAACGCUUAACUUUGUAUUUAUAUAAUUUUAAGCUAUAAAUCAUUUGAUAAUAUCUUCCAAAGUGUUGGACAUCAAUUAAUGACAAUAUAUGUUCAUAUUUUACACUUUAAAUCAAGAUGAAAUAUAUAAAAGGUAGACAAAUGCUCUACGUUCUUUGAUAUAACGACCAAAAUGUUAAUCAAUGGCGAUUUAAAUAUUAAGUUAGAGCCUUACUGAUAGUACAUGAUACACUGGUGUUAUUGCAUUUAACAUAAACAUAGCUCAUUCUAACUUCUAUCUUGUCUGAAUA